rnacentral:lncRNA from 1 species
AGUUUCUGAGGCGCCGGCGGUGUUCCUGGUAGCGUCAGCCUCCUGGCUUUUCCUUUUCCUGGACGCUUCAGGGCUCCGCGGCCUGCGCUAGACUGGAGGGUCCGCGUCACUCUCGCCCUCCUGCUUUCCGCGCUCUCACCCGCUCCCGCCUCCUGAGGGCACGACUUGUGGAGGAGCGCGGGCGGCGGGGCGUGAGCGAGCUGCCUCUGCCGCCAUCUUAGAGAAGGCGAGCGUGGGGUGUGCGUGGGCGCGAGUCGGCCUCCCGCGGUGCCGCCGCAGCGUGGCGCGGAGAGAAAGUCCUUGUACCCUUCGCCUUCCGCCAUAAUGCUUUAAAAAAAAAAGUCUGGGGCCGGGCGUGGUGGCUCACGCCUUUAAUCUCAACACUUUGGGAGGCCGAGCGGGUGGAUCACCUGACAUCGGGAGUUCGAGACCAGCCUGACCAACAUGGAGUUACCCCAUCUCUACUAAAAAUACAAAAUUAGCUGGGUGUGGUGGCACAUACCUGUAAUCCCAGCUACUUGGGAAGCUGAGGCAGGAGAAUCGCUUGAACCUGGGAGGCAGAGGUUGCGGUGGGCCGAGAUCGCACCAUUGCACUCCACCCUGGGCAACAAGAGCAAAACUCGGUCUCAAAAAAAAAAAAAUAGUCUGGAAACAAUUCAAAUGUAUAUCAAUAGGAGGAUGGGAAGACAAAUUGUGGGCCCAGCACAAUGACUUAACACCUGUAAUCCCAACACUCUGGGAGGCCAAGCCAUGAGGAUCACUGGAGGCCAGGAGUUUGAGACUAGCCUGAGCAACAUAGCGAGACUCUGUCUUUACAAAAAAAAAUUAAAACUUAGCUGAGCAUGUUGGCACAUGCCUGGAGUCCCAGCUACUUGGGAGGCUGAGGCAAGAGAAUUGCAUGAAUCCAGGAGUUCAAGGUUGCAGUGAGCCGUGAUCACACCACUGUACUUCAGCCUGGGUGAGAGCAAGACCUUGUCUUUAAAAAGUAAAAGAGUAAAACAAAUUGUGAUACAGUCAUACGAUGGAGUAUUAUUGAGCAAGUCAAAGGAAAGGACUGCUGAUACAACACGGACAAAUCUCAAAAACAUUGCAUUUGGCAAAAGAAGCCAGACACAGAGUACAUAGCAUAUGAAUCCAUUUAUAUAAAAUUUAAGAACAGGAAAAAGUAAUCUGUGUUUAGUAUCUUCUUAUGGCAGAGGCAGUAGGUUGGGAUUUUAGUGGAAAGGAUUAUGAGGGAACAUGGUAGGAUGGUGAAAAUGUUCUGCACUGUCUCAGCUGCACUAAUGACAUAUAGCUAUUAAAAUCUAUUAAUUAAAACAAAAUUCAUUUCCACUGUCACAUUAGCUACAUUUUAAAUGUUCAAUAGCCACAUGUGGCUACUGCCUACUAAGUUGGACAGUGCAAAUACAGACUUCUGUUAUCUCAGAAGUUCUACUAGAGAGUUCUAGUCUAGACCUUGUUUUAUGCACAUGUUUACAUUUUUCAAAAUUGUAAUUAAUAUGCAUUGUAUGCCAGUAAUACCUGCCCCCAAACCCUAUAAAUCAUUAAUAGAAUUUUUAUUACUCUAUUUUAAUCUACUAAUUAGCCCAUGUUUUCCAUAAUAUUUUUGUUCAACCCUGGGGAGAAAGGAUAAAUAGUAAAAUUCUUGGCAAAUUUUCAAAUAUGUAAUUGUGACAUACAAUAGAUAGCAUUGAUUUUCCGCUCCAAAAAAUGAGUUCUGCUGCUUUAUAAUUUUGAAUGCAUCUAGAAACAAGAAAUUUCUUUUGAGGGCUUAAAGUGAACUCUAGAUGAAUACAGAAAAAAUUUUUUCUAUUGGAAUCAAGUAUCUUAAACGUGGCGAUCAUACAACCUUCUUCUAAGGUAACACUUAAGAGCGUUUUGGGAGAUUUUGGUGCUAGCUCUAUGACUAGGUUUAGAAAGUCAAAUAAGCUCGGUAGGUAACACUUCAGACUCAAGCCUUUUGGAAGUAGAAGAAAACUAAGUUUGUAAGUGAAGGAUAAAAAGACCUGAAUGAUCUCAAUUCUAAAAUUCUGAUUUUAAUGGAUUUUAAGAGAUGGAAUACCAGGUGAAUUGAUUCAAAAUAUUAAAUAUAUGUGUUUAUAUAGUACUUCAGUGAAAUUAAGAAAAAUUUUUGGUGGAGUAAGUACCUUAAUAAUGUUAAUAAAUAUUUCUACCAGUGUUUUUUAAGACCUUUGUGAACCCCAAGUAGAUUUUUACAAGACAAUGAACUUUAACUGUUAAAGAUUAAUUAUUAUAAAUGAAUCAGCAGUUCAUGUCAAUAAUAUGUGCUGGAAAGUAUUUUCUCAAUUAUUGUCAAUUAUAUAUAAAAAAUGAUUUUAUUUGAUCCAAAUUCUUUAACUGCCAAAUUCUUGUUUUCUUUCUCUCUCUCUCUCUCCCCCUCCCUCUCUCUCCCUCUCCCUCUCUCUCCCUCUCUCUCUGCCCCCUCCCUCUCUCCCCACCUUUCCCUCUCCCUCUGCCUCUCUCUCUUCCUCUCCCUCUCCCUCUCCACUUCCUCCCUCCCCUUCCCUUCCUCCCUUCCUCUACCUUUUUUUUUUCUUAUAAUGUAAUAUGUAGUCUGGAGAAAACAUCUCCCAAGUUCUGUUGGGCCAUUCUCCCUAUUGGAAGUAUACUAAUAGUAUCUGCUCACUGGAACAUGCCAUAUAUGUCACCUGCCCCACAUACUGAUAUCACAAUAAUAUGUAAAACCUUCAUUUAAAUUGUUUUUGAAUGUGUAUAUCAAUUGUUACAGCAUAUGACUGAACUUUUUUCAUCCUUAAAAAUUUUUUUAAGCAAUAUGACACAACCACUAAUGAAGAAAAAUAAAGAUUACUGAUUGACAUUACAUGUAUUUGCCUCUUGAUGCCUUGUUUGUUUUGAAAGAGAGAAUUUACGUGCGUGCAAUAUUUUUCCAAAAAUUUUUUUUUAGCUUACUAACAUUUUUGUUUUGAGGGCAGGGAACAGAAAAAUACACAUUUUACAGUGGGGUGUUUAAAACACUUGCCCGCAAGUACUGUUUGAAAUGUUAUGUGGUACUACUGUCAUAAAAGAGAUUAAGGGCCAGGUGCCAUGCCUUACACCUUUAGUCUCAGCACUUUGGGAGGCCAAGCCUGGGCAAGAAAGACACCCUGUCUCUACAAAAAAAUGAAAAAAUAAAUUAGCUAGGCAUGGUGGUGCGUGCCUGUAGUCCCAGCUACUUGGAAGGCUGAGGCAGGAGGAUUACUUGAGCUCAGGAGUUCAAGGAUGCAGAGCCAUGGUCACACCACUGCACUCCAGUCCCGGUAAAAGAGUAAGACCCUGUCUCAAAAAAAAUUUAAAGAUUAAGGCCAUUUUAAAGACUUGGUUUGAAGACUUCCAACCCCAUAUAAUAUUAAACACAUUAAAAUACAUCCACAUCACAUAAAAUAUACAUGACUAAAAAUUGAGUUUAAAAAUGACAAUAAUGGUAUGUUUUGUAGACAUUAAUUACAUAGUUAUUAUUUGCCACUUUUCAUAUUUUGAAGUCAACUUUUUUUUUUUAGAUCCCCAACAUUUUCAAAAGACCUUGAGAACUGCAUAAAUCCUAAGCAUAGUGAUUGAUGGAUAAAAUGGCCCUGAAAUAAUAGUGGCAAAAGUGAAUUUAAAACAAUUUGUUUCUUAGGCUUUUUUUUCCUUCUUCCUAUAAAGGGAGGGAUUAGUUAAUAGAUCCACUGAGAUCAUUAUAGUGAACUUUGUGCUAGUUUCACAAAGAUCAGAAAAAACUAAUAAAAGGGUGAUUACUUAAGUGUACUUGAACUCAUUACCCUAAUUUGGCACUACAACCUUCAUUAAAAAUUGAUAUACUUCAUUAUGAAAAAAUAAAGACAGUUGGAUUUGCUUUAUAGGGUUAUCUUACUUGUAACUUCAAAUGUGUGACACAGUAAUUAUAGACUACUUGUUAAAUGUUACAUCAUUUUUCACCCAGAAGUAACAACCUUUAGAGGAAAAACACUAAUUUGUUUGAAGAUUGAUAAUAGACAAGAAAUGUUAAGUGAAUAAUAAGAUUAUAGAAAACUGUAUGACAAAGAUUUUUUAUAGGGUUAAACAUGCCUAUUUUGAAAGUGGAUAAGUUUAAGAUUAAAUUCCUCCUUAAAUGAAAUAAGUAAAAUUGCAUAAAAUAUCCAUAUCAUUUUCUUUUGAGGCAGUACUGUCUCAAUGACCCUACAAUGAAAUACAAAGAACUGACUUUCUGGAAAAGCCAGAAACCAUCAGCGUCUAAGGAACCAGCUGCAGAGGUGGCAGAAUUGAAUGAUGUAUAUAAUAAGUGGAUCUACACUGGAGCUUAAUCUAGGUGGAAGUUCUUCUCACUGCUGAGAGCACAUUAAGGAAGUAUCUAUUAUAAGAGUAAUUUCUAUAAGACUAUUUUUAAGUUAACUUAGUUGUACAAUUAAAACAUAACUUGUUAGCAUCUCUUGAAAAAGCCAUACCUCUGUAUUUGACAAUCAUCUUUGGAAAAGAAACAAAAUUCUGAAAGUUUAUUGUAGACUUCAAAAGAUAUAACGCUUACCUGCCAGAAACAGGUAAGACAGGCUGGAAGUUGUAAUAACUUUUGGAAAGGAAGUUGACAGGAACGUUCCUCGAAUAUCCACAAUCUUAAUCUCAUGUCAACUAUAAUGAAGCCAUGUAAAGGUGAGAAAAGGAAGAAACAUUAUCAUAAUCUACCGAGAUGAUUACUAUGAUCUUUUUUUUUUAAAGUAUUGUGGUCUCAUGGGUUGAUUGGUUUUUGUUUGUUUUUUCGUUUGCGUAGAAUGAGCCAAAAGGAACAGGGAAGCACUAGUCCUAGAGGUAAGAUAUGGUUAAGACUUGGGUUAAGGCUAUAACUAGGAAUAGUGAGAGAGGAUAUAUUCUAAAAAAUACAGUGGAGGAAAUGUUUACAGUACUUGAAAAUGUCAAGCAUGGUCAAUUUUCUAAUACUUACUGAGGACCGGCUAUCUCUGCUAUACUAGUUAUUAUGGACACGUGGAGAUAAGGAACAAGGAAGAGUGAAAGAUACAAAAGAACUUCCUUGUUGUGCCAGAUUAUCUUCUAUUUGUGUCUCCAUAUUCACUCUUGACUCUUUUUUACCCACCUUUCUAGAAAGCUGACCUUCAUGCAUUCUGACUACAUCAUUGCUUUCUGGCUGCCAGUUGGUUUCCAUCAGUGGGCAGCACUGGCAGGAGAUUGGAGACGUGGAGAGAGGAGAGUAAAGUCAGGUUUUUUAUUACCCUGUCUCCUACCUUGCAAAGUUGCUUCAAGAUAGCCAUAUCCAUUGACUUAAGAAUUCUGAUAAAGGCUCUUUCCCCUCUUUAGGCUUAUGGGUAGUAACAGUUCCACUGCUCUCUAGGUUACUGCACCAUUCUUUCAGUUUCUCUACACCCACAUCUUGGUAAAUAGGUCCUUUGUACUUAAAUUCGCAUCAAAUUGCCCUCUUUCUAGUGUAUCAUCUGUUUCUUGUUGGGACUUUGAUAACACUAAAUAAACUCACAGACUGAAAAAUUUUGCUUGAGUUGCCAUAACAAAACACUACAGACUGAGUAGCUUAAACAACAGAAAUUUUUCUCACACUUCAAGAGACUAGAAAUCUGAGAUCAAGGUGUCACUGCUUGACACCAAGAGAUGGUCUCUUCUGAGGCCUUUCUCACUGGCUUGUAGAUGUCCAUCUUCCCCUUGUAUCUCCACAUGGUCUUUCCUCCGUGUGUCUGUGUUCUAUCUUAUCUUCUUAUAAGAACAUCAGUCAUAUUGGAUUAGGGCUCACCCUAAUGACCUCAUUUUAACUAAAUUAUUUCUUUAAAUAUGCUACCUCCAAAUACAAUAUGAGGCACUACUGGUUAGGACUUCAACAUAUGAAUUUGGAUGGGACACAAUUCAGUGCAUAACAGACUAGUUGAGGAAGAAAGGCAUAAGAUAAAUGAGAAAAUAAUAUAUCAAGAUUAUGAGUAUAGGUAUGAAUAUAAGAAAAGGACAAUAUUGGACUUACUCUGAGCAGAACAUUAGGAAGGGGAAAAGAUAAGACUUUUUUUUAAUAAGCAGUUUUAUAAAUAUGCAAAUUUCAGUGACAGAUUCAAGUAGAGAGGCACAUACAAAAGAAGUCCCAUGAGCUAAGAACUAUCAGACCAGGAGACUGAUCUAGGAGCCAUGUAAGUAACAGAAUAACAAUAAUUACCAACAUUUAUGAAGCAUUCUGACAGAUUAUUAGUUACCUGCUCCCCUUCUUUUAUGAAAACAGAAUUAUUCAUGUUUUGGGCUGAGCCGGAAGACUUCCUUUCCUGGUUUCCCUUAAAGUUAGAUGGAGUCUUAUGACUAAGCUCUUGUCAACUAAGUGUUCACAGGGCCACUUCAAAAAAAAUUUAAGGCAGAUUGCUUAAGUCCUUCACCCUUUCCCCCUCUAAUUUUCAUCCCCUUCUCUAUCCCAUUGUUUAGAAGAAGGAUGCCACCAAGCCACACACAUGGAGCAACAGAGUAGGAGACUAAGACCAUAAUGAGUGUGAGGCUACUACACUGGUCUGCAUUAUGUUUACAUGAAAAAGAAACAUCAAUCUUGUUUUCUGUCUCACAGUUAAUCCUAAUUAACACAAACAUUUUCUAUGUACUAGGUACUGUUCUCAGUUUGUAUGUAUUAUUUUGCUUAAUCCUGUAGCAAUUCUAUAUGUAGAUUACCAUUAUUAUCCCCUAUAAGGAAACAGAGAGAUUAAGUAAUUUUCCCUAGACAGCACACCUCAUUUUUGCUGAAGUUAGGUCUUGAACCAGACUAACAGACUAUGACUACGGAGUCUGCCUUCUUAACUGCUAUGUUGAACUACCUGCCUCUUGUCUCUAAUCCUACACCCAACCCUUUUGCAUCUAAGAAACAUAAUUUUUUUGUUUUUUUUUUUUUUACUUUUUUUAAAUUAUACUUUAAGUUUUAGGGUACAUGUGAACAAUGUGCAGGUUUGUUACAUAUGUAUACAUGUGCCAUGUUGGUGUGCUGCACCCAUUAACUCGUCAUUUAACAUUAGGUAUAUCUCCUAAUGCUAUCCCUUCCCCUCCCCCCACCCCACAACAGUCCCCAGUGUGUGAUGUUCCCCUUCCUGUGUCCAUGUGUUCUCAUUGUUCAAUUCCCACCUAUGAGUGAGAACAUGCAGUGUUUGGUUUUUUGUCCCUGUGAUAGUUUGCUGAGAAUGAUGGUUUCCAGCUUCAUCCAUGUCCCUACAAAGGACAUGAACUCAUCCUUUUUUAUGGCUGCAUAGUAUUCCAUGGUGUAUAUGUGCCACAUUUUCUUAAUCCAGUCUAUCAUUGUUGGACAUUUGGGUUGGUUCCAAGUCUUUGCUAUUGUGAAUAGUGCCGCAAUAAACAUACUUGUGCAUGUGUCUUUAUAGCAGCAUGAUUUAUAAUCCUUUGGGUAUAUACCCAGUAAUGGGAUGGCUGGGUCAAAUGGUAUUUCUAGUUCUAGAUCCCUGAGGAAUCGCCACACUGACUUCCACAAUGGUUGCACUAGUUUACAGUCCCACCAGCAGUGUAAAAGUGUUCCUAUUUCUCCACAUCCUCUCCAGCACCUGUUGUUUCCUGACUUUUUAAUGAUUGCCAUUCUAACUGGUGUGAGAUGGUAUCUCAUUGUGGUUUUGAUUUGCAUUUCUCUGAUGACCAGUGAUGAUGAGCAUUUUUUCAUGUGUCUUUUGGCUGUGUAAAUGUCUUCUUUUGAGAAAUGUCUGUUCAUAUCCUUUGCCCACUUUUUGAUGGGAUGGUUGGUUUUUUUCUUGUAAAUUUGUUGGAGUUCAUUGUAGCUUCUGGAUAUUAGCCCUUUGUCAGAUGGAUAGAUUGCAAAAAUUUUCUCCCAUUUUGUAGGUUGCCUGUUCACUCUGAUGGUAGUUUCUUUUGCUGUGCAGAAGCCUUUUAGUUUAAUUAGAUCCCAUUUGUCAAUUUUGGCUUUUGUUGCCAUUGCUUUUGGUGUUUUAGACAUGAAGUCCUUGCCCAUGCCUAUGUCCUGAAUGGUAUUGCCUAGGUUUUCUUCUAGGGUUUUUAUGGUUUUAGGUCUAACAUUUAAGUCUUUAAUCCAUCUUGAAUUAAUUUUUGUACAAGA